CCUACGGGAGGCAGCAGUAAGGAAUAUUGGACAAUGCUCGCAAGAGUGAUCCAGCCAUGCCGCGUGCAGGAAGAAUGCCCUAUGGGUAGUAAACUGCUUUUGAACUAGAGAAAACCCCAGUACGUGUACUGGGCUGAUAGUAUAGUUAGAAUAAGCAUCGGCUAACUUCGUGCCAGCAGCCGCGGUAAGACGAAGGAUGCAAGCGUUAUCCGGAUUCAUUGGGUUUAAAGGGAGCGUAGGUGGACUGAUAAGUCAGUGGUGAAAUCUCCGAGCUUAACUCGGAAAUUGCCAUUGAUACUGUUGGUCUUGAGUACAGUUGCUGUGGGCGGAAUAUGACAUGUAGUGGUGAAAUACAUAGAGAUGUCAUAGAACACCGAUUGCGAAGGCAGCUCACAAAGCUGUAACUGACACUGAGGCUCGAAAGUGCGGGGAUCAAACAGGAUUAGAUACCCUGGUAGUCCGCACCGUAAACGAUGAUUACUCUCNGNGUAGGGACGACCGUUACGUAGUCGUUAGUACGAAGACGUAAGUAAGUAAGUUACGUUACCGUACGGGUUAGGGUUACGGUCCGGCCGGACGGUUACGGAACGUUACGAAGGAAGUUAGACGGCGNGAGACGNGCGACGGACGACGACGAGGAGGUUAGG
rnacentral:rRNA from 1 species